AACUAAAUGCCAUGAGCCCCACUAGGAGCCAGAAGCUGCUGGGAUGUAGAACUGCUACAUCUGAGCCCUGGGGAGACACAGCCUAGGGGGUCAGGUAGCAGGGGUCAGGAAGGGGAGUAGGGAGAGUGAAGGGGGAGGGGAGGAGUCAGGAAGAGUGGGGGAGGGGAGUAGGGCGGGAAGAAGGAGGGGAAGGGGUUAGCGUGGGGGUCAGGAGACCAUCCGACAAAGGAGGAUCAGGCCGCCUUGAGUCUCUGCAGGUGAAGAGUGUCUAGGAGCACAGCUUGGCUGCAGAGCAUUCAAGAGAGGGCCUGGCCUUAACCGGAAAUGGCUGUGGACCUGAAAAUGGCACAAAUUCUGGCUCUGGGAGUGGACCCACACCAGGCAGAAACAAGAACGAGGUGAGACCAAAGGUGAGCUGGAGUUAAGAGGGUUUGAGAUGGUCAGGGGAGGCCACUCUGAGAGGUGCAUCUGAGCUGAGAUCAAAAAGGCAAGAGGAAGAAAGUAUUUAUAUUAUAAAGAGCUGAGCAAACAGUGCUGUGAGCAGAGGAAACCACAGAUUCCCUUCCAGGAGAGGUUAUUACAAGAACUGAGUCGAUGAGUUUGGUGGGGAUUGUGACCAGAAGAUUUGGAAAAUUAAAUAUGGCUGAAGAUUCAACUUCCACUUUUAACCGUUCCAGAAAUAGAGAAAGUAUCGAAAAAGAAGAUGUGUAAUCACUCUGUGUAAAAGUUCACAUGUAUAUCUGUGUAUAUAUAUUAACCACAUACAGCUUUUCCUUGAAGUCGUUUUGUCAUAUUUUUGUACUAAAACAUUCUUCUAAGAUUGCAUGUUGUAUGUGAUUUUUUUGGGGGUCAAAUUUGAUUUACCUGGUUAUCAAAUAUUCCAUUAACAAUUUGUAAGGGAAAUUUAUUUUGAUAAUCUGUAAAGUGAGGAUAUAUGCCUUUUGAUUACUUUGGACAAGGAAUUCAGGACAUUUUACUUAACCUCUAAAAGGCAAUAACUUGUUGCUUAACAUUCAAAUAUUUAAAUUUGGUGAAAAUGCCAUUCUGUUUAAAGCAUUGUGUAAAGAAAGUUGUUCUGUUAUUUUUUGAAAAUGAAAUUUAAAUUUGGGAGGGGUGGGUUGUCUUUUGUUGCUAGUAAACAAGUACUAUUUUAUCAGUAUUGGUGUUCUUCAUGUGUAACUAUUAACUGGUUAUUUGCAAGUUUUUUAAUAAUUGUUAAUGAUGUAUAAACUGUCAGUGAUCCUUAGAUUGUUCUUAACUUUCUGGAAUUUAAACAGUAGUUAAAAAGAAAACAAGAUGUGCUAAUGCUGAAUGGAGUUGACAAGUAUGUGUGUCUGUAGGUCUUAAUGCCAAAAGUGUGAGUGGGAAUCUGAAAUUAGUUUUUGUUUAAAGUCUGUAGUUAACGUUUCUGUUCCCUACUCCCUUCAUAAAGCAGAUUUUGGCAACAGUGACAGUUGACAAGUGGAACCUAAGUAGAGGCAGUCAGAGCAAUAUCCCUGCUGCUUCUCCUGUGUUUUUUGUCUCUAGCCUGGGUUUCAUAUGUGGUAGAAAAAUGUGGGUUAACUUAAGAAUGAUUGUAUUUUAAAUGAUCGGUUGUUGAAAUUGGACCCAAGUUAAAUUUUGUAAGAGGGAUGCCAUUUUAGUAAUAUGGAAUAAAUUAACAUGUAACCUCAAUGUGCCACCCAAUACAUUUUGAGAACAUUCUUUCAAAAUGCAUUGUGUGAAGUUGAACAAAACUAGCAUGUCCCUUCUUUAAGAAAUAUAAAGAGCUUAAUUAAGGAUCCCUGAAUAGAAAAGGUAAGAAUUUCACAGUUCUGGAGUUCAGUAAAAGGUAAAUAAUUUCCAGAAUGAGAGAAUACUACUAAGAAUGAUGUAGUGCUUACAAAAUGGAAAUCGAACUGUCCAUUAGUUUGAGUUCUUGAACCUUUUGAAUUGGAAACCUAAAAAUUGUUUUGGUGUUUAAUGACAAACACUGCUUUAAACUAUGCUUUAAAAGUCCCACAAUGUUAGCAUGGCUUACAGUACUCUACAAAAUGGUGUGCUAUAGGUUAAAAGGGAAAAAAGGAAUGUUUACAUGUACCAGAUCAUAUAAUUUUAUUUUUAAAGCUUUUAAAAAUUUUAUUUUUAUAGCAUUGUUCAGAGUGAAACAAUGAUAAGCCUGUCAGAUGAUUCUUAAACAUGCUAAACCAUAAGUCAAGUAACUAAAAGAAUUGUUAGGUUAAAAGAUAAUUCUUCUUAGAUGCUGAAUUUGUGAUGUUCAGAGUUUAGUUGAGCUGUUAAUCAGUGAGAGAACGUUUUAUGUGGGCAUUGGCGGUGGGGCUGAGGUUGUGUAGGGUUUAGUAAGAUUUAGUAGGAAUUGCAUCUGAUGCUGGAUAAAAUGCAUGGCAAAUUUUGUAUGCUUAUGUCUAAAGAUUUCUUAGGCAUGGACAACAUACUCUUCAAGUAACACUAAAGAAAAGACAUGCAAAUAACAAAGGUUAACAUUCAGCCAUUUUGAGAUAUCAGUAAGGGAACAAGUUGAUUAUAGCUAAUGAUUGCCUCACGUAUAAUUAACCUGGGGAAAACCGCUCUGGCCAAUUUUUCUCAGUGUUUUAACCUUGAAAUUCCUUAAAGUUUCAAAUUUGAUAGCCUUAAGACUAUUUUCAGAAAAAAUUAAUAAUAUUCUUUUGUAUGUUAUUUAUAUCUCAUUCUCCAGUUUGUGUGUAAAAAAAGCAAAGUACUUAUGGUUUUACAAGUUAUUCUUUGUCAAAGCUGCUUGCAAAGUAGUGGUGAUUUUACUAAAAACUUCUGAGAUCUUCAUUUUACAGGCAAACCUAUCUAAGCAGAGCAAACCAGACUUGGGGGUUUUCCCUGUAUUUUGAAGAGCCCUACAAAUGAUUGAGCCCUACAGAAUGAUUCGUGAUACAAAGCAACCUACAACUGCCUGGAGAAAAAUUUGGUGUCACAUUAUAAAGCUUGCUGUGCGUUUAAUGAAGUACUGUUCUGAAUUGAUAACCUUGGGGUAGUUUGUCUAGCGUCAGAGUUCAGAGCCUCUGCGCUGAGCAGUAAAGGUAAGGAGGGCUCACUGUGCAAGGUCAGUUUUUGUUGUCCCACUGGAAAUCCUGCCAUGCCUACUUGAAGACAGCACAUUCCUCUUUGCUUUGGAGGUUGUUGAGCUUUCAUUGUGCUUAAAGCCUGGAUACAGUUUUCUGUUUUGUUAAGUUAAAUUCAGGAGGUAAUAUUCUUACCGAGUUUUAAAGGGUAAUGAAGUUGGGCAUAUCCUGUGAAUUUUAAGGCCAUAGAAAAAUCCAUGAAGGCUUAGUUUUCUUCUAAUUUAGUGUAUACAGCAUUCAGAGAUGCUUAUGUAUUUGCAACUAAGUCAUGCUGUUGGAAUUGUUUUGAUGCUUUUAAUGUAAAUAAAUUUAUGCAUUUUAAAACUACUUGUUAAAUUGACCAGAAUGAGAAUUUUGAAAUAAAAAUUUUAAGG